GACAGUGACAUCACUAAGUCAUAGAAACCCCAAGUUCUACUUCCCCUAGACAAGACUGGAAGACACAAGAUCACUGCCCUCGUUGAGAAAUGGGCACCAAGCUCUUCUCCUGCCUGACCUUCAGUCUAUUGUGGGCAGUGCAUACGGAGGCUGGAGUCAGCCAGAGCCCAAGAUACAAGAUCACAAAAACAAAAGAAAAAGUGACUUUGAACUGCCACCAGACCAACAGCCAUAACUCCAUGUACUGGUAUCGACAAGACCUAGGGCGUGGACUGAGGCUGAUCCAUUACUCAGUUGGUGUUGGCAUCCAAGACAAAGGAGAAGCCCCUGAUGGGUACAGUGUCUCCAGAGAAAACACAGAGGACUUUCCCCUCACUCUGGACUCAGCUACCCUGUUCCAAUCAUCUGUGUACUUUUGUGCCACCAGUGUUUCCACAAAGUUCCAGGCUCUUCAGCAGGCACAGGGUUCUUGA